rnacentral:rRNA from 1 species
GAGUUUGAUCGUGGCUCAGAUUGAACGCUGGCGGCAGGCCUAACACAUGCAAGUCGAGCGGUAGAGAGAAGCUUGCUUCUCUUGAGAGCGGCGGACGGGUGAGUAAUGCCUAGGAAUCUGCCUGGUAGUGGGGGAUAACGCUCGGAAACGGACGCUAAUACCGCAUACGUCCUACGGGAGAAAGCAGGGGACCUUCGGGCCUUGCGCUAUCAGAUGAGCCUAGGUCGGAUUAGCUAGUUGGUGAGGUAAUGGCUCACCAAGGCGACGAUCCGUAACUGGUCUGAGAGGAUGAUCAGUCACACUGGAACUGAGACACGGUCCAGACUCCUACGGGAGGCAGCAGUGGGGAAUAUUGGACAAUGGGCGAAAGCCUGAUCCAGCCAUGCCGCGUGUGUGAAGAAGGUCUUCGGAUUGUAAAGCACUUUAAGUUGGGAGGAAGGGCAGGUAAAUUAAUACUUUGCUGUUUUGACGUUACCGACAGAAUAAGCACCGGCUAACUCUGUG